UGGGGAAUCUUCCGCAAUGGACGAAAGUCUGACGGAGCAACGCCGCGUGAGUGAAGAAGGUUUUCGGAUCGUAAAACUCUGUUUUCAGGGACGAAUGUGCAGCUUGUAAAUAAUGAGUUGUAAUGACGGUACCUGAGUAGAAAGCCACGGCUAACUACGUGCCAGCAGCCGCGGUAAUACGUAGGUGGCAAGCGUUGUCCGGAAUUAUUGGGCGUAAAGCGCGCGCAGGUGGGAUAUUAAGUCUGGUGUUAAAGUUCGGGGCUCAACCCCGUGAAGCAUUUGGAAACUGAUAUUCUUGAGUGCAGGAGAGGAAAGUUGAAUUCCUAGUGUAGCGGUGAAAUGCGUAGAUAUUAGGAGGAACACCAGUGGCGAAGGCGACUUUCUGGACUGUGUCUGACACUGAGGCGCGAAAGCCAGGGUAGUGAACG
rnacentral:rRNA from 1 species